rnacentral:misc_RNA from 1 species
GAUGAAGAACGUAGCGAAAUGCGAUAAGUAGUGUGAAUUGCAGAAUUCAGUGAAUCAUCGAAUCUUUGAACGCACAUUGCGCCCCUUGGUAUUCCAUGGCGCAUGCCUGUUCGAGCGUCAUUUGUACCUUCAAGCUUUGCUUGGUGUUGGGUGUUUGUCCAUUCUCUUGCAGAGGGACUCGCCUUAAAGUAAUUGGCAGCCAGUGUUUUGGUUUUGAAGCGCAGCACAAGUCGCGAUUCAAAGCUAUACGCCCGCUUCCACAAGCCUUUUUCACUUUUGACCUCGGAUCAGGUAGGGAUACCCGCUGAACUUAAGCAUAUCAAUAAGCGGAGGA